rnacentral:rRNA from 1 species
GCCUGAGAGGGCGACCGGCCACACUGGGACUGAGACACGGCCCAGACUCCUACGGGAGGCAGCAGUGGGGAAUAUUGCACAAUGGGCGAAAGCCUGAUGCAGCGACGCCGCGUGAGGGAUGACGGCCUUCGGGUUGUAAACCUCUUUCAGCAGGGAAGAAGCGAAAGUGACGGUACCUGCAGAAGAAGCGCCGGCUAACUACGUGCCAGCAGCCGCGGUAAUACGUAGGGCGCAAGCGUUGUCCGGAAUUAUUGGGCGUAAAGAGCUCGUAGGCGGCUUGUCACGUCGGUUGUGAAAGCCCGGGGCUUAACCCCGGGUCUGCAGUCGAUACGGGCAGGCUAGAGUUCGGUAGGGGAGAUCGGAAUUCCUGGUGUAGCGGUGAAAUGCGCAGAUAUCAGGAGGAACACCGGUGGCGAAGGCGGAUCUCUGGGCCGAUACUGACGCUGAGGAGCGAAAGCGUGGGGAGCGAACAGGAUUAGAUACCCUGGUAGUCCACGCCGUAAACGGUGGGCACUAGGUGUGGGCAACAUUCCACGUUGUCCGUGCCGCAGCUAACGCAUUAAGUGCCCCGCCUGGGGAGUACGGA